rnacentral:rRNA from 1 species
UACGAAGGGGGCUAGCGUUGUUUCGGAUUUACUGGGCGUAAAGCGCACGUUAGGCGGAUCGUUAAGUCGGGGGUGAAAUCCUGGAGCUCAACUCCAGAACUGCCUUCGAUACUGGCGAUCUAGAGUCCGGAAGAGGUGAGUGGAACUCCUAGUGUAGAGGUGGAAUUCGUAGAUAUUAGGAAGAACACCAGUGGCGAAGGCGGCUCACUGGUCCGGUACUGACGCUGAGGUGCGAAAGCGUGGGGAGCAAACAGG